UACGUAGGUGGCAAGCGUUGUCCGGAAUUAUUGGGCGUAAAGCGCGCGCAGGCGGCCUUUUAAGUCUGAUGUGAAAGCCCACGGCUCAACCGUGGAAGGUCAUUGGAAACUGAAGGGCUUGAGUACAGAAGAGGAAAGCGGAAUUCCACGUGUAGCGGUGAAAUGCGUAGAGAUGUGGAGGAACACCAGUGGCGAAGGCGGCUUCUGGUCUGUAACUGACGCUGAGGCGCGAAAGCGUGGGGAGCAAACAGG
rnacentral:rRNA from 1 species